rnacentral:lncRNA from 1 species
ACUGACCAGGUCACCUGCAGCGCGGGCUGACGGCGGGCGACUGAAGGAGGGAGCAAGUCUCCCACCCCCAGCAGCCGGCGGCCGCUUCCGAAGUCUGCCCCCUUCCACUGCGGAGCGGCGCCCCGCGGGCCCCCAGCCAGCGCGCCCGAGGCGCCCCCGCCCCGUGUCGCUCGCGCUGCGUUAUUGGGAGAAGGCGGUUCCUGAGCACCAGCACGGGCCUCGGUGACACCGGAGGUCGCUGGGGUCUUCCCCUUCCCCUUAAGACUCUGGGUCUGUCUGUGGGAAGAGCUUUCAUUCCCCACCCCACUCUAUGCCGACCCUCUCCGGGGGAGGCUCCACUGGCACUGUAGACACCACGUGCUGGGUAAAAAGGCCUGGUCCCAGCGCUUCCCUGUCACUGACUGCUAACCACAAGGCGCCGUGGCACUCAGGAAAUGCGGCAGGGGGGCUGGAGAACUAUCAGGAAGGGGUGUGGGCAGAGAAGAGGCUUCCACCCUGUCUUGGAACACGGACACAGUCCAUGGCAUUCAAAAGAGGUGGGAGGCUCCUCUGUGCACGUGCCUUCCGCCCCCGGGACAGGUGGAGGAGGGGAUUUGACUGGUCCUCACCCUCUGCAUUUAUAGUCUGGGCACACCUUGGGCAGUGCCGCAGGAGGGCGCUGUGGAGUACAGGCACAUGCAGAAGGAGAGUCUCCGAGUCUGGGCCUUGCCACUCCUCACUCAGCAUCUGACCAUCCCCACCUCCUGGAUCUACAGGGUUCAUAGAGGAGGACCCAGAAGAGGGAAAGUCAGGCUGAGGAACUUGGCCUCCCUGCUGCAAGGGAAAUGACAUCGGUUACCAAGGAGGUGACCAGCUAUCCUUUUCCAAGACUGAAAAGCAGAAAUACGGCCCUGAGGCUAGAGGGUCUAAGAGAACAAUAGGAAGAAUUUCCUGACAAAGGACAAUGUUGCCUAAAGGACUCAGGAAGCUCUGUGAAAACAGGAGACUCCCGAGCAGAGCACCAGACCCUUCUCCACCAGGCAGUGUUUUUCCCAUAUGACAGGUGAGAAAACUGAGGCUGAGAGACAUGUAAUAACUUGCUGAAGCAGCAACCAGCACACCAUAUAGCUGAAAUCUGUAGAUCAGCAGUUAAAAGUGGUAGGGCAAGUCCUCUCUGACUUUCAGCGCUAAGAGCCUAGGAUUCUGUGUUUUUCUGCUUAAGCCUGGGAAUCAGAGUCCUACAAAAGCCGCGCCUAAUCCUGGGGGUGUGGGCUUUAAACCCAGAGAGAAAGCAUGUUAUUGGAAUACUCCUGCACUUUUCUCCCUUUGAAUCCCACCACGGAAAGAAAAUUCUGUGACGUGUACCCAGUAUUUAUUGGAGGGUAUUUCCUAGCAAGAAAAUGAGGGCGAUUGACCAGGCACGGUGGCUCACGCCUGUAAUCCCAGCACUUUGGGAGGUCAAGGUGAGUGGAUCACAUGAGGUCAGGAGUUCGAGACCAGCCUGACCAACAUGGAGAAACCCCGUCUCUACUAAAAAUACAAAAUUAGCCGGGCGUGGGGUGGCGCAUGCCUGUAAUUCCAGCUACUCCUGAGGCUGUGGCAGCAGAAUCGCUUGAACCCGGGAGACAGAGGUUGCAGUGAGUUGAGAUCAAGCCAUCGCACUCCAGCCUGGGCAACAGAGUGAGACUCUGUCAAAAAAGAAAGUGUGGUACAUCUAUACUAAUGGAGUACUAUUUAGCCGUCAAAGAAAAAAAAGAAAAGAAAAAGAAAGAGAAAGAAAGAAAGAAGGAAAGAAAGAAAGAAAAAGAAAAUGAAGGCGAUUGUCAACAGCCUCUGGAAAUACAGAGCAGGGUCCAGAAAUGGCCCCUUCUUAGAUGGCGGGCUGGACAGUGCUGCUCCUUCUUAGCCACUGGCGGCAGAAAGACAAAGCCUGGUAAUUGUUCUUGGGAUUCUCCCUGUCACCUCUCCUUGUAGGUCACAAGCUUCCUGAUGCGACAGCCCGUGGGACUACUAGAAGGAAAGAUACUCCUUUUCCCAUUUUACAGAUCAGGAAACUGAGACUGGACAGAAACACCACCAGGAUUGAACUGUGAAUGGAUCUGACUCCAACCCACAAAUUCUUCACCUGGUCUCGAAAAGAGGCCCUGGCAACCUACUGCGCACCAGAGGGGAACCCGCCCGCCGUCCCAGGCCGGGCUCUCCCUGCUGCGGAGCGGCCCGGGCGCGGCGGGACAGGGAACGGAAGGAACGGGCUUGGCGCGCACUCGCCGAGGCCCAGGCAGGAUUCGAGCGCCAGGGAGGCGCCCAUUUCCCUUCCCCCGCGCCUGGGAACGCGGUGCUGGGGGCGGGGCCCGACCGCUGCCCCCUCCAAACGCCUCGACCGCCAGGUGCCCCGAAGCCCGGCCUCCCCUCCCACCCCCGCGCCUGUUCCCGGCGCAGCCCGAGCCGUGGCAGUCACGUCUCCCCAUCCGGCCCCAAAGUAAGAGCCAGCCGCAGCCGCGCCGACCCCGCGCUGGGUGGGAGGGCGCGGGGAGGGCGGGGAGGGCGCGGGGAGGGCGGGGCAAGGAGGUGAGGGGAGGGCGGGUUGCCCGGGCCCCGCCCGCUGCGCCCAGGUCGGCCGGGGAGAGGCGCGGGCGAGUCGCAGCGCCGCAACCACCGCCCCUGCCGGGCGCUCGGCGAGCGGGGGCAGGGCGGGGUGAGGCGUGGCCGGGGAUGCCGCGAGGCCGCGCCUCCAGGGCUGUGCGCGGGCGGGUGUUGCUGGGGAGAAAAGCGCGGCACGGCCCCGCCCGAGUCCUGCGGGCACAGCGCUCUCUGCUGGUGUGGGUUGAGAACUGCAUGAGACUAAUUAAAGACCACCAUCCACUUAAAAAAAAAAAAAACAACUUAAUUCGAAUCGGAACCUCACUGUGUUACUGUGAAUAUGCCUAAUUACUAUUCGUCAAUUUUAAAAAAUUAAUACAUUGAAAUAAACUAAGAAAGAAAAACCUAAUUCAAUAAUGUGUCAUAGGCGUUGCAGUUUUGAAAUGUGGAGAAGGAAAAAAGAAAAAGAAUCACUCAUCAUACCUUUAUCUAGAAAGAAGCACUUAGAAUAUUCGUGUCUGUCUUUCCAGGGCUUCUUAUCUGCAAAUCUAUGCAUGUAUGCAUUCUUUAGAGGAUAAAAAAGGCCGGUGGUGACUCAUGCUGGUAAGCCCAGCUACUCAGGAGACUGAGACGAGAUGAUCUAGGGUAUCGCUUGAGCCCAGGAGUUCAAGGUUGCAGUGAGCUAUGAUGACACGACUGCACUCCAGCCUGGGUGACAGAGCAGGGCCUUAUUAAUAAAUUAAUUAAUUUAUAAAUUAAUAAAUUAAUUUAUAAAUUAAUAAAUUAUACAAUAUUGUCAGCUUUGUGAACGCAGAGGCCUUAUUUUGUUCACUGCUCUAUCCUCAGUGCCUGGAACACUGGUAGUUGUCUGGGUGCUCAAAAACCAUUUGUUGUUUCUACCAAAAUGGAAUCAUGCUUUACACAGUAGGACCAUCAUUUUUAGCAUACUUAAAUGUGCUAGUAUGAUGCCCCGACCCCCUCAAUGAGAAUAUGUGAGAGAUGGAUGGUCCACUGGCCUCUUUUUUUGUUUUUUUUUUUAGGCGGAAUUUCGUACUUGUUGCCCAGGCUGGAGUGCAAUGGCCCCAUCUCGGCUCACUGCAACCUCUGGCUCCUGGGUUCAAGUGAUUCUCCUGCCUCAGCCUCCCGAGUAGCUGGGAUUACAGGCAUGCACCACCACACCUGGCUAAUUUUGUAUUUUUAGUAGAGACGGAGUUUCUCCAUGUUGGUCAGGCUGGUCUCGAACUCCCGACCUCAGGUGAUCCGCCUGCCUUGGCCUCCCAAAGUGCUGAGAUUACAGGCCUGAACCACCGCGCCUGGCCCCACUGGCCUCUUUAACAAGAAUCUGGAGGCCAGAUGUGUUUGGGAUUUAGAAUUAUUCACAGUGCGCAUAUAAGGUGACUCUCCACCAUGCUCAGUCCCAUCACAUGUUCUGUAGCACCAUGUUUUGCUCCUUCAAAGCUGACUGCUGUAGUCUCACAAGUUUAUGUUAAUCCCAUCCAUGCCUGUCUCUCUCAGGAAACCACCCUGUCUGGUUUGCUCACCAUAGUACUCUCAGCAUGGAGUGGGUGCUCCAUAAAUAUGUGUUGGAUGAACGAAUGAAUGAAUGAAUAAAUGAAUGAAUGAAUGAAUGAUGAAUACUCUAUCCUGUUUGCCUCCCCUGGAGUCAUGUGUGGAGUUCUGUUUAUCCCAUCUCAGGACAAGCCCCAGAGAACCAGAAUCAUAGAAAGGGGGAGGUGUUAGUUUGCCCAUCCAACAGAGCAUCUGUUAUGUGCCAGGCUCUGUGCUAGGCUGUGGGGAUCUAAAAAAGAUGCAGGCCAGGGGUGAUGGCUCACGCCUGUAAUCCCAGCACUUUGGGAGGCUGAGGCAAAUGGAUCACUUGAGGUCAGGAGUUCAAGACCAGCCUGGACAACAUGGCAAAACUCCAUCUCUACUAAAAAAAAAAAAAAAAAAAAGCCAGGCGUGGUGGUGGGAGCCUGUAAUCCCAGCUACUUGGGAGGCUGAGACAGGUGAAUCACUUGAAACUGGGAGGUGGAGGUUGCAGUGAGCUGAGAUCUCACCACUGCACUCCAGCCUGGGAGAAGAGCGAGACUGAAAAGACCUGUCAGCAGGGUCAAAACAGGGAGCAGGUGGCAUGCUCAAGGGUGUGGACAAGGUGUAGGAUAGCCAGGGGAUGGUCCAGUUCCCGGGAGCCAAAGGGGAAAGGCAAGAGGAGGGAGCGGUUAACCAGACCUAGAGAGAGAGGGCAAGCUAGGUGCAGGGCCCCUUCAAGGGCUCCAGCCUCUGCUGGGAGAUUCAGCCCGCCAGAGGCAACUGGACAGGAAAUGAGCCCAGGAAGGACUACCCUGACCCCACUAUCCUCCCCCAGGCUUCUCCGCUCCACUUUGCUUGACCACAAAGCAAAGAGGCAGGGGAAGCAUUGAGGCAGUCUGUGAACAUCAGCCUCCAGGUGCAGAGCAGGGUGGAUGGUGGGUGGCAGGACAGCUGGAAGCUAUCCAGUACCAAGAAUGAGGCUGUGAUAGCCAACAGGAACAGGAAGGGAUGUGAUCAUAGUCACAGAUACCAUGACCACAGGCUUGGCCUGGACUGGGUUUGGGCUGGCAGAGAGAGGUCAGAAGCAUAAUGACCCUUGCAGAGGGAGUGUCAUCAAAUUAAGUAAAGUUGGGGCCA